CCAGAUUCUGGGCCUCUCUCCUAUGUCACAGAUGGGAAUUCUUUCCACAUUAUUCCCAGUGGGUCUUCUCACUCUUUUCCAGGCUCCUUGGAGGUCACUGCCCUGAUGACAACAUGGUCUUCCCUUCAAGGAAGCCACGUUUCUAAGAGGGCUCUGGCAUAUGCAUUGGUGAGUUGAAGCUUGACAGUGUUAUAGCUUCUCUGCUGUUAGUGUGAGGUUUGAGGAUUUUACUUUAACCACAUGGAUUAGUCAGAGAAACAGAAUGAACAAGAUACAGAUGGCGCUGUAGACAUAGCUAUAGACCUGGAAGAGGGGCUUUAUAAUGGAGAUUGGCCUGAGUGAUUAGGAGCCUAAGAAGUCCCACAGUAUGUCAUCUGCAGGUUGAAGAGCCACGGAAGCUGAUGGUAUCAUUCAGUUUGAGCCUGAAGUUCUGAGAACCAGGAGCUUCAACGUCCCAGGGCAGGAGAAGGUGGAUGUCCCAGGGCCUCUGUGAGGUUUUAAUGAAUGAAGGCUGAAGAAACUCCACAGAGAUGGUGACUUUCCCCCAGCACAGCUCUUGCCCUCAAGGAAGAGACACUCGACCAAACAGGCAACUGGAAACAGGAUGGCUUCGUGGGCGUGUGUGACUUACACAGGGCUGUGCACUCAGAAGAAUCCCGUGACUGACUUAGGCUCUGCAGCUGCCAUCUUGAAAUUCUUAAUAACUUUUGAAUGGUGUUGGGGGUGGGGUUGGAGGGGAUGGUCCACACUUUCAUUUUGCACUGGGCACUACAAAUUAUGUGACCGGCUCUGAUUAAAAUGCUACAAGAACUAACAUGAAACUGGACACAGAAACCAGACCCCAGAGCACAUACCGUAUGAGUCCAUUGGUAUGAAGUUUAAAAACAGAUGGCACUAGUCCAAAGGAUUGGAAGUUGG
rnacentral:lncRNA from 1 species